UGGGGAAUAUUGGACAAUGGGCGCAAGCCUGAUCCAGCCAUGCCGCGUGAGUGAUGAAGGCCCUAGGGUUGUAAAGCUCUUUCACCGGUGAAGAUAAUGACGGUAACCGGAGAAGAAGCCCCGGCUAACUUCGUGCCAGCAGCCGCGGUAAUACGAAGGGGGCUAGCGUUGUUCGGAUUUACUGGGCGUAAAGCGCACGUAGGCGGACUUUUAAGUCAGGGGUGAAAUCCCGGGGCUCAACCCCGGAACUGCCUUUGAUACUGGAAGUCUUGAGUAUGGUAGAGGUGAGUGGAAUUCCGAGUGUAGAGGUGAAAUUCGUAGAUAUCCGGAGGAACACCAGUGGCGAAGGCGGCUCACUGGACCAUUACUGACGCUGAGGUGCGAAAGCGUGGGGAGCAAACAGG
rnacentral:rRNA from 1 species